rnacentral:lncRNA from 1 species
CAGGUGCCUCAGUUGAGCUCAGGGCUUUGCCAGGGCUCUACUAUUCUGUACCUUCCUCCAAUCCUGUCUACUCAGUUGAUGUUUGCGUUUCCUGGAUCAGUCGGAGGUCUGGAUCAUUCCCUUGCUGCAUCUGUUGAGUGUCAGGCUGCUGGUGGUCUUGCUGUGUUUUCUCCACUCAGGUACUCACCAGUUUCAGAUGCACCCUGGUCCUCUCCCUGUUCAUGUUUGUUUUACUCCAGAUGAAGUUGUGCAAAUAUGGAGACAAGAACAAAGUGGAAUAUAGAAUCCGGGAAAUCUGAACAUAGAACUUGUGGAGAGGUGGAACAGACCUGCAUGUGCUCAAGUCCAUGUUAGCGAGAACUUCCCUGGAAGCUGAAUGCAAUUCUGUGAGCCUCUGGACAUUUCUUUCCAUUUUUCCUCACACUUAGUUCUGUUUGUGCAUGUCUUUCAGCAUUUAGAAAUAACCGUGCCUGAGUUUUUUUUGUAUUAGUAGCCACUUGAAUGCACAGUUAUCCAAGCAGCAAUACGUAACUUGAGGCUUAACUGUAGUGCAUCUUUUUGUUAGGUAUUACUGAUGUAGUAGGAAGCAUAGCUUUUAUCCACCAAGAAUUGAUUAGAGUGAAUAAUUAACAUGUAGUCCAUCAAUAUGGAAGAAUGAAUGAAUGUCUAUUUGAUAUGAGUCUUGAUGGAUGAUUUCAUUGCUGGUUUAAUCUCCGUCUGGUUUCUGUUUAAUCUCUUUUAUUGGCUCAGCUAACGUCUGAGCAGAAUUUAAAACAUGCUCAUUACUUAAACACAUAAAUAUUUGAAUAUUUUUGUGUUUUAAUCUUAUCUUUCAUAGGGACUUUGUUUUAAAAAGUGUCUUCUGAAAUCAAGCCACAGCAGACUUCCUGAUUACUGAAAACAUAAUUUCUUAGCAAAAUAAAUUAUAAUAGAUCUUUAAACUGAGCUGGAAA